CCCUAAUAAGAAGAUGGCACGUACCAAAUUUCAUAUUCAUACAAUUUAUAUAAAAAAAAACUAAAAAUAAAAUACUUUGAGACGUCGGAUCUAAGAUCAAACAGUGAGUGGCUCUCUUGAUCAAAAUUGGACGGCUAGAUGGUAGGAGAAGCAUAGAUCUUCUAUGCAAUAGAGGAAGUACAGAAACCUUUCCCAUAGCGAUCUUUAGAGUUGAGAGAGAUCUUAGGCCUCGUUUGGAUCUUAGGGUAAAUAAAACCAUGUUUUAGAUCAUAACAUGAUUAUGCAAGCUCUGAUUAUGCCAAAACACGAGUAUUUAGACAUGAUUUGUUUGGAUAGCUUCUAGAAAAUACCCAGGUUAUGCAAAUCCCUCGUUUGGGUCAUCUAUUUGCAUAACAUGGGUUUACACUCCUUCAUCAAUUAGAAUUGCACAUCCAAUAGACAAAAGUGACUGUGAACUUCUUAUAGAAAAAAUAAAUAAUCUCAUAUAAUCUCAUUUUUAAAGCAAUUGAUUUUGAGUUGUUGAAGGCUUACAUCCACUAUCCAUUAAAUGAAUGGUAUUCUUUGAAAACAACCGACUUAUUUUUCCUUUUUUUUUUAUGUAAAAUCUAUUUUUUAUUAAAAACAAUAUAAACGAGAAUAUUUAUCUUUGAUACAAGGUUACAUUUAAUCUUCACCAUGAGAUGUGACAUGAGAUGCAUGAUUUAUUCUAUUAGCCAAGCUCAAACUUCAAAAAAACUUUUUUUGAAAUUUGUGUCGCACUCAAGCUACGAGACUUCAUGUAAGAUGGGUAUAAGUAAUUGUGACUUCUUUGUAUCAAAGGUAUAUUGUGUCAUUAUAUACGAGACUUCAUGUAAGAUGGGUAUAAGUAAUUGUGACUUCUUUGUAUCAAAGGUCUAUUGUGUCAUUAUAUACGAUCUCUUUUUAUUAUAUUCUUUUUUCUUUUCUUUUAGAUUUAACUUUUUGGAGUGGCUUAGGGCCCAUUUGGAUACUCAGAGAUGCCCUUUUGACACAAUAUAAGGCUAUUGAAUUAGAUAGUAAUUUUUCUUCAUUAAAUGCCACUUCCAAAUAAAAACCAAAAAUUUAAGUAAAUGAUGCUUCCAAUUAAAAACUAAAAAUAAUAUGGGUAAUUUCAAAAUUUAGCAACUUUGUGACAGAACAAUCAAAACCCAGCAAAAAUUAUAGAGGAAAAAAAAAUAUAACAAAAUCAAAUGAUUUUCUUUAUGAUUUUUAGAGAUAAAAUCAUAAAGGGAGAAGGUUAUAUAGAGUCGAGGCUCUAAACAAUCAAAUUAGAGCCUACUUCAAAAAUUUCACUAGAAGAGGCUGUUUUAAUGUCCAAAUAACCUCAAAUUGAGCAUUUCGACAUCAAGAUGCAUGGAUAUGAGAAAAAAAAUGGAAUUCAAGUUUAGAAAAUAGUGUAUUUUGUAAUGCAUUUUUGGACCGUCAAUUUUCAAGAUUUUUCAAGUUUUCAUAGAUCUGUCGACGUACACUAUUUUUUAAGCUUUAAAGUUUAUAAAUAAAAAUAAAAAAAUAUUAUUACACUAUCACAAAGAUUUUUAGUAUUGAAACCACAAUCGUCGAUAGUAUGUGAAGGUAGGCUCUAAUUUGAUUGUUUAGAGGCUCUAUACAAACCGCACCCAAUCAUAAAAUCAUGUCCUUCCACUUGAAAACCAAAAAUGACAUGGAAGAAACCAAAACUUAUGUGAGAAAAUCGUUUAAAGCAUGGCAAAAAGAUCACAAUAAUGGAAAGUUAAAGGUCACAUGAAUGAAAAGUAUUAUAAUUCCUCAAUUGGGUAUCUCUAGUCUAGAGAGAGAGAGAGCUCAUUAAAGAGAGAAGCCAAUUGACCUAAGGCACUUAGCUAUUUUCAGAUAUAGAAAUGAGAAGUAAUUGAAAACCAAUUUUUUUUGGCCCAUAAAGAGAGAGAUA
rnacentral:lncRNA from 1 species